rnacentral:lncRNA from 1 species
UACAUAGUUGUGAGUGACGAAAAUAAAAGGACUAGGAGCCAAGCCGAGGCUGAGUCACUCGCACUGAAGGUAAAACCAUUAUGUUUUCAUAUUUUGGUGGUGGUUUGAGCAGCUGUGGAGUGAGACUGGUGUCGAGCUGGUUGCGUGGGCUCGGCCAGGCCACCCACUCGCAUAGGAACCGAGGAGGCUCCUUUUGGGAAUAGGGAAACCCACCCACCGUAGAAGCUGAAGGGUCUUCCGCAAGAAUGGAGGCUAGAAUCAUCCUUUUGGGAUUCCGAUUCGCCUUUCGAAAAGCUGAAAAGUCUUUCUCGAAAAACAGAAAUUCGAUCUGCCAAACAGGAAGCUGAAAGGUUUUUUCGGGUAUGAAUCCUGAUAAUUUCGGAUAUUUCAUUGGGUGGUUGUUGGAACCUGUUAUUUAAUUUAAUUAAUUUUUAGUAUUUCAAAGUAUAUUAAUUAAUUCAUAUCGUAUGUACAGAAAAAUUAAGACAUUCAAGCGGAUCCGAGAAUAUGCAUAGGAGUGUAAGUAUUUCAAAAUCUCAACCAGGUUUGAAUGUCGAAAAAAUGCAUGCAUUACAUUAAAUUAUGAAUUUUGAAAUUUGAAUAGACACUAACCCAAUUUUCGAUGAAAAACAGAACCUAAACCUAUAACCAAUGGACCUAAGCAAUUGGAAAUUAUAAGGAGACGAAACUAAAAACAAACCCAAAAGACUAAAGAAUACUUGGACUGUGAUGAGAUAUGAAUUGAGAAAAAGAAACAAUUAUGGUUAUGAAACGAUUAGUUAAAUAAAAUUUCAAAGAAACUAGAAUAAGAGUAAAAUAAAUAAGAAAUCAGAAAUGAGGAGUUGUGAAUAAUUGAAGUAUGGACCUUGAAUGCCCUUUCGUUUAGUUCGAAUCAAGGAGGGGAGUGUGUGUGUGAGGCUGAAGUUCAGCGAUCAUGGUAAACCUGUACAUGGAUAGCGUCUGAAACUUAGUCCAGACAUGGAUAGUUAUUUGUGUGUAUGGGUUACCUAACAAACGUACUUGUUAUGGUCAUUGCAAUAUUUGUGUGUGUGCUAUCCAUACGAUUGGGGGAUCCAUUUCGCCUCUUCUUAAUGACGACAUAAACAACAUCGUACGAUGAAACCUUAGAAAUGACCUUUCGAGUGUAUAUGUUGUAAAAGCCUGAAAUCUUAAAGGAAAAUAAAUUCAUAAAAAUAAAUGCGUAGACGAUUAAUAGAGUUAGGGUUUACAUUCCUUACACAAUAAUUUAGAAUACCCAAUAAAGCUACGGGAAUGUCCAUUCUAAAAGACAAAUGAUAAUUAAAGAAAAGAAAAGAAGAACGAAUAUAAAAGCAUCUUAGGACAACCUUCACUAGCACUUAAGGGGAGUCUGGGUGGUGAACUACUCACAACCCUCUUGCUGAUUGAGAUCUGGAUUAUAGUCCUCUUGAUUUGAAAUGGUUAAUGAAACAGUGAGCUGUAAGAAUAUCACACUAAUCACAGAUACGGA